UUCCAGACUCCUACGGGAGGCAGCAGUGGGGGAUAUUGCACAAUGGGGGGAACCCUGAUGCAGCGACGCCGCGUGGGUGAAGAAGCGCCUCGGCGCGUAAAGCCCUGUCAGCAGGGAAGAAAAUGACGGUACCUGAAGAAGAAGCCCCGGCUAACUACGUGCCAGCAGCCGCGGUAAUACGUAGGGGGCAAGCGUUAUCCGGAUUUACUGGGUGUAAAGGGAGCGUAGGCGGGCGAGAAAGUUGAAUGUUAAAUCUACCGGCUUAACUGGUAGCUGCGUUCAAAACUUCUUGUCUUGAGUGAAGUAGAGGCAGGCGGAAUUCCUAGUGUAGCGGUGAAAUGCGUAGAUAUUAGGAGGAACACCAGUGGCGAAGGCGGCCUGCUGGGCUUUAACUGACGCUGAGGCUCGAAAGCGUGGGGAGCAAACAGGAUUAGAUACCCCGGUA
rnacentral:rRNA from 1 species